rnacentral:lncRNA from 1 species
CAUUCGCUGAGGAAGUGGCUGUGUUGCUGAUCCAAUGCUCUCUGCUGCUUCGGGCAGGAAUUUGGAAUUGGAAUAGCCCACCUACUCUUUGUGAAGGACACCAUGGCGUCAUGCUGGCAGACAAGAUUCCAGUUUAACGUCCAUCUGAGGGAAGGGACACAUUGAUGAAUCGCCCUACCUGUGAAACACCGGGAUAACUGUUUACAGCUGGAUCGAGAACCUAACCCAGCCAAGAGAGCUUGGAAGCAAAUGUGCAUACCUCUUGGCCAUCCUGUCCACUUAUUGCAGAGCAUUCCACAAACUUCUGUUCUCUUGUGGCAAGUUUUGCUCUGUGGUCGGCCCAGGAAAGGUCAUGGCUGAUGGUGAGGCUGAGAAGUUCAAGAGACUGAACCUCUCCCAGUGGACAACCAACGAAAUAGAGAGUGUUGUUCAGGGGAUGUUCAACGAGUCAACACCACUUCCUUGGCCUCCUACAGCUGAUGAGCUGGAUGCCAGGGCAUCAGAAGAAUACCUCCCAACAGACCUGGUGAAGUUCCUGUCGACUCUUAUCCUGGGUGAAGCAGAUGUGGAAAAGUCUGAAAAGAGCCGACGUCUGGUGCUUUCAGUAGCUCAGGACAUCUGCCAUGCUGUGACGAACGGAGAGUGGAAGUUACCUAAACACAUCCUCCUUUGCAGCACCAUACGCCACCUUUAUCUAAGCAAGCAGCUAACUAAUAUACUUCAUAUAUUGGGUCACUGUGAGUCCUAUGACUUUGGCUUGGAAGUUGAGACAGCACUGGCGGAAGCCGUUGGCGAUGUUUCCUCUUCUCUCACUCCCCAAAUUGCUACUGGUGAAGACAACGAAGUUUUUCAUGUUGAGUGGGACAACUUAAACAAAAUAACCACAAAUGUCCAUGGUUCAAAUGUGGUGAACAGCACUGGAGGGAUCAUGAUAGAGGAGGUGAAACCAAACACUGACAUUGCCAACAAAGAUAGAACCCUCCCACUCAAGCAGCGGAAUAAGACUCGUUGUUUUGAAGUUGGAACCCCACCAACAUUGCCCCCUUUUCAUAUUUAUGGUCGAGUUGGGCCCAAGUUUCCAACAGGGGCUAAGUUCAGUCCACCCAUCGAAAACGAUAAGUUGUAAUCAGAGUGCAUCCAAGAGUACCGUUUGUGGUUACUUAUGCGAAUGGUCACUGGCAGUAAAGAAACACAACUAGUCCCUGGAUUUGGUGGCUUAAUCUCAGCUACUGGCAAAAAACCGUCUCGAAAGUAUUCUGGUCUCCAAAGCCAUAUGAUCCUGAACAAGGUUGGGAAAGAAAUGAUGAGGGUGUUUUGGAGCCAGUGUGGUCUUGCGGCCCCCCCCCCCCCCCCCC